CCUACGGGAUGCACCAGUGGGGAAUAUUGCACAAUGGGCGCAAGCCUGAUGCAGCGACGCCGCGUGAGGGAUGACGGCCUUCGGGUUGUAAACCUCUUUCAGUAGGGAAGAAGCGAAAGUGACGGUACCUGCAGAAGAAGCGCCGGCUAACUACGUGCCAGCAGCCGCGGUAAUACGUAGGGCGCAAGCGUUAUCCGGAAUUAUUGGGCGUAAAGAGCUCGUAGGCGGUUUGUCGCGUCCGCCGUGAAAGUCCGGGGCUCAACUCCGGAUCUGCGGUGGGUACGGGCAGGCUAGAGUGAUGUAGGGGAGACUGGAAUUCCUGGUGUAGCGGUGAAGUGCGCAGAUAUCAGGAGGAACACCGAUGGCGAAGGCAGGUCUCUGGGCAUUAACUGACGCUGAGGAGCGAAAGCAUGGGGAGCGAACAGGAUUAGAUACCCUGGUAGUC
rnacentral:rRNA from 1 species